CCCCCCCCCCACACACACACCUCAAAAAAAAAAAAGAAAGAAAUUCACAAGCCAUGUGAACAAGCACAUUAUUUGGCAUAUCUAUGCUCUACAAUGCCCUUGUUGCUAUGUUGAGCAGGGUCCAAAUUACUGCUCUCAAUUUUCACCAAAGUUCUCAUUAGAAGCAAAGCCGCCAGGAUUCACCUGGAAUGGCCUUGGUUAAUACUUCAUUUGAUGAAAAAAGUUAUCAAGGAUAGAAGAGAUCAAUGCUUAUAGCACUAUUAGCAAGAAUAAGCUUGAUUUUAUCACUGGUGUUGAUGCUUCCCCAAAUGCCCAAUCUUCAGAUCUACAAUCUUGGAGCAGAUGCAAUGACAUAGUAACGUCUUGGAUCCUUAACUCUCUUUCCAAGGAUAUUGCUGAUAGUGUGAUAUACUCUAGGACUGCUAAAAAUUUAUGGAUGAGUCUAGAGCAUAGAUUUGGACAAUCUCAUGGAGCUAAAUUGUUUCACCUACAAAAAGAACUGAAUAGGUUAGUUCAAGAAAAUAAUGAAAUUGCAGGACAUUUUACUAAACUUAAGAGACUCUGGGAUGAGCUGGAAUCUCUCAAGUCUGAUAAGUGUAUCUGCGUGUGUAGUUGUGAAGGUAAAUUGAAGCUAGAAAAUUCUCUCGAAGAUGAGGAACUUAUAUAAUUUUUGAUGGGUCUAAAUGAUAUGUAUGCUCAAGAGAGAGAAAACAUCUUAAUGAUGAAUCCUCUGCCCAACAUAAAUGUUGCUUACUCUCUGAUUUUACAAGAUGAAAAUAAGAGAGAAACCUAUAUCAGUGGCUUGAUCCCAACUGAUUAUUCUUCCUUUAUGGUAAGCAACGUGAAUCAAAAUAAAUUUGGCAAGAAAGUACAGAAACUCUUGGUGCUAUGCCUAAUUUUGGACUAGAUCAUUCAAUUAUCCAAGAUUUAACAAUCAUCAGCAGUUACCCAAAUACACAGGAACAAACCAACCACAACAAAAGCUUAGGGUUAAGAAGAAGUAUAAUCCUAAUAUGUCCUGUGAUUUUUGUGGUAAGACCAUGCAUGUUGAUGAUGAUUGCUUCAGGUACAUGAUUUUCCAGUAGAUUUUCACUUCACAAAUAAUAGAGGUGGACAGGUUCAUAUUAGAGAAAAUGCAAUUAUAUCUGGAGAAGAAGGUAACAAUGGGCAUAUGAUUGGCGUGAAUUUAGUCAAUCAACACUUCACCAAAGAACAAUUCAGGCAUUUUAUUCAAAUGGCAAAGCAGAAAUCAACAGAGGGAUCAUCUAUGAACAAAGGAUCUGGGAUAAAUGUUAAUACAGUUGAUGGUACUGUGUUUAAAUAUAUUGGAGCUUGUCUUUCAAUUUUUAAUUCUGGAAUGUGGAUAAUAGACUCAGGUGCUUCUGAGCACAUGUGUUAUAACUCUAUUUCUUUUCUUUUUAUGAAAACUCUAAAAACUCCUAUUGACAUUAA